AUUGAACGCUGGCGGCAGGCCUAACACAUGCAAGUCGAACGAGUGGCGGACGGGUGAGUAAUGUCUGGGAAACUGCCUGAUGGAGGGGGAUAACUACUGGAAACGGUCGCUAAUACCGCAUACCCUCGGUUUUGCCCAGAUGGGAUUAGCUAGUAGGUGGGGUAAUGGCUCACCUGGGCGACGAUCCCUAGCUGGUCUGAGAGAAUGACCCGCCACACUGGAACUGAGACACGGUCCAGACUCCUACGGGAGGCAGCAGUGGGGAAUAUUGCACAAUGGUGGCAAGCCUGAUGCAGCCAGGCCGCGGGUAUGAAGAAGGCCUUCGGGUUGUAAAGUACUUUCAGCGGGGAGGCGUUACCCGCAGAAGAAGCACCGGCUAACUCCGUGCCAGCAGCCGCGGUAAUUC
rnacentral:rRNA from 1 species